rnacentral:rRNA from 1 species
UACGUAGGGUGCAAGCGUUAAUCGGAAUUACUGGGCGUAAAGGGCGCGUAGGCGGUUUGCUAAGUUGAAUGUGAAAACUCUGGGCUUAACCCAGAGCCUGCAUUCAAUACUGGCAGGCUAGAGUUCUGGAGGGGAUAGCGGAAUUCCUGGUGUAGCGGUGAAAUGCGUAGAUAUCAGGAGGAACACCGGUGGCGAAGGCGGCUAUCUGGACAGAGUCUGACGCUGAGGCGCGAAAGCUAGGGGAGCAAACAGG